ensembl:lncRNA
AAGCAAUAUUUCAGCUGAGCUCCGGGAAGGCGGGUCCAGCGGCCGCCUGUGAACCCACACGCAGCUGAGCCGGGACUCAGAGGAGGUGACGCCCGCAGGCCCCGGGGCGGCUCCUUCGCUGCGGAUUCGGCCUGGGAGGAGAGCGGCGGUGAAACCCUGCGCGGUCCUUGCCUUCCGCUCCAGGAUGCUGCUGUAUGCCAGGAGGUACGAGGUGGAGCAGCUAGGCAUCAGCGGCGCAUCUGCCCAGGAAGUAGAAGUUUAAACAAAUGGAUCUGAAGCCUUUGGAGACGUGACUCCAAAGAACCCACUCACAGCUGAGAAUCAUUAAGAUGGCAUUCAUGUGACUUGAGAUUUUCCAUGUGUGAUGACUGCCUGUUUCAUCAAGUGACGUCGUUAGAGGCUGAAUCUACCUGUGCGCUGCAUGGCUGUGAUUUCACUACAACCAAGCUUUCCCUUGUGUGGGAAGGAAACACUAUGGAACAGGAAAUGGGAAAAGGGCAAGAAACGCAACCCCUCCCUUCUCCUGGCCUUCCAGAGGACAGUGGGUGUGGUCCUCCUGCCAACAGCAAUGGGAGAAGACUCUACAGAAUGUGCUGCUGGGCCCACGUGGAGGCCAGCUCUGAGCCUUCUUUCAAGCCUCUCUAGAUUUCCCUGCAAAUGAUUCAAUAGGGCCCUCUUCCUUUCUCUCCCACUUUGUAGUAUGCAUUUCUGCUCACUUCUUCCCUUGUCCAAGACCUUGUUUGCCAAUACUUGAAAUACAUAGUUAAUAAUGUUUUCUUUUUUCUUGACCAGAUAUAGUCAGGAAUCCGGCUACUGUUACUACUAUAAUUCCUACUAAAAAUAACAAUAGCUAAAAUUUCUUGAGCUCUCACUAAGUGCCAGGCCCUAUCUUAAAGAUUCAUUUAAUCCUCACACCAACCCUAAUAGGACCUUUAUGGUGGGUUUUGAAAGAGCCCAAAAACCAGCACCCCUGCCACCCACUGAAGUUUAGAACUAACUGAUAGAUCGACAUGGUCUCUGGAAAAUGGAAAUCAAAUGUUCUUUAUUAUAAUAUUGCCAAUAAGGGAGAACACAGAUUAGGGCUUAGGCUCCCACAGAAUUAAAUUCACUACCCAGUCCCAAGUAGCACUGGAUCAUCACAGAAUCUCCUCCAGAGGCCUGGCCCCAUGAAACUCAGAGCAGAGCCAAACGUGCACUUUGUGUGAACAGCCUGGUAUGGAGUGGGCCUGGGAAGGAGUGAUAGGGAGAAAAAGAGGCCAGGAAAUCCUGCUUCGUGGAAACUUGACAUCAGGGCAAAAAAAAAUCUCCAUGUUAUUAUCAUUCCCUGACUUAAGUAGCUGAUGCACUAAACACAGAGCACACCCCCCAUCCUUCCUGAGUCAUGAGGGGAAUCCAUGCCCCGAGUUGAGUGGGAGAGAAAUUAGUAUUGCUGCAGCCCCACUCUCACCAACCUGGCUGUCAGAAGCCCUGUAUCUCUCUCCUAUCUGCAUGAUCCCACAAACACUAAAUACCUACUAUGGGUUUGGAAAUGUGUUACUAGACAUUUCAGUGGCGUUUGAGCAAAGUUAUUGAUGAAUAAACAGAUGAAUGACUCUUAGAGAACUCA